rnacentral:rRNA from 1 species
GACGAACGCUGGCGGCGUGCUUAACACAUGCAAGUCGAACGGAAAGGCCCUGCUUUUGUGGGGUGCUCGAGUGGCGAACGGGUGAGUAACACGUGAGUAACCUGCCCUUGACUUUGGGAUAACUUCAGGAAACUGGGGCUCAUACCGGAUAGGAGCUCUUGCUGCACGGUGGGGGUUGGUAAGUUUCGGCGGUUGGGGAGGGACUCGCGGCUUAUCAGCUUCUUGGUGGGGUAGUGGCUUACCAAGGCUUUGACGGGUAGCCGGCCUGAGAGGGUGACCGGCCACAUUGGGACUGAGAUACGGCCCAGACUCCUACGGGAGGCAGCAGUGGGGAAUAUUGCACAAUGGGCGGAAGCCUGAUGCAGCAACGCCGCGUGCGGGAUGACGGCCUUCGGGUUGUAAACCGCUUUCGCCUGUGACGAAGCGUGAGUGACGGUAAUGGGUAAAGAAGCACCGGCUAACUACGUG